rnacentral:RNase_P_RNA from 1 species
GUAAGUUGGGUAGUUGACUUCGGGAAUUUGUCAUUGAAUUGACAAGUGUUGAAACAUUAAACAUCAACGCUAAUUCUUGAGGAAGGUCCGCUCACCGUCGAGAAAUCGAUAAAUAUGUUGUCUUUCGAAAGAAAGAUUCCUGUGAAGGAAAGCUCCAGAACAGAAACGAUACAGAACUUGGGGAGUAAUGAUUUUAUAUGAACUGAGAACCAAGAAACUGAUGAAACGGCUGUCUCAACAGGUGCAAGGUUUCGUACCGCAAAGUUGAAUGUCAACACGUUCCGUCUGCGGAAACCAGAGGUUUCUCGGGGAACGACAGAAAGUGGCCUAUUCCCAACUUAC